GGUAGCGAAGUACUGGUGGCUGGCAGCAAAAAAAAAAAAAAGGACUUUCUUUUCUUUUCUUUUCUUUUCUUUUUUUAAGAAAAACAAAGCUGGACACCGGCACGUAUGUCACACUUUCUGUUUUUUGAAGAAAAAACAGAACUGGACAUGUCACACUCCCUGUUUUUUAGAGACUUUGAUUUGAAGAAGACGAAAAAACCGUGAAUGAAGAAGAUAGGCCGCAAUUUUGACCAUUAAGAAAAUUCUCAGGUAGCUAAUGCACGAUUUCAAGCUGCUGGUGCAAUUCGAGAUGCUGCUAUUAGAGAGUGGAGUUUUCUUACUGCUGAUGUCAAGAGAACUUUAAUUAGGUCAUUUUUUACUUCUAUGAAUACUUUACUUUUUGCUUUCGUGUUUCAUUGCAAUAUGUUUCUAAAACUGCUAGGCGCACUGGAAGGACAAAAGGAAUUGUUAAUUUACUUGUGCUAUCUUGGCAAUGGUUUGGGGCACUUGGUGGUAGAUAAAUGCAAAACAGUUGGGAGGUGUGGGAUUUAGAAACAAAAUAUUGGGGUAUGACAGAAGAAAUUUGAAGGAAGAGGAGCAGAGUGAGAUGAGUUUGGUUUCGGAAAUGAUUAGUUCUUGAAAUGGUCAUUUCUUGGUUCGAUCUCUAGUUCAUAAAUUGCAUGAAGAUGAUGGCCUUCUGGAUUUAAUUUGUUUUCAAAGAUUUGGGAAUGAACUCCCUCAAAAAGGGUAAGAUCUUCAUUUAGUCUGUUUGUUUGAAGAGCUUCAAUUUGAAGAUUAAUGUCCGUUGUGUGGCUUAAAAUCAUUCUCAAUGUUCGUCAAGUUUGGUGGAUGCCAAAAAUUUGUUUCAUAUGGUUUCCUUAUAGGAGUUUGUGGAAUCAACCAUCUACUGGAUUUGAUGGGGCUAUCAUGAGUAACAUCAUUUAACUAGUAAAAGUGUCAAAUAAUUGUUAUCUGGGAAUCAACCACCCUUGAUUGGCUUUGUGUCACUGAGGCAUGUGAAAGAAGUAAAAGAAACUAUAGGGGAUUAUGAUUAAACCUAUGGUGGCCUGGUGUCAGACGACGCCUGGCCACCUGUGUACGAUAUCAAGAUUUUAUGAGUUUUUCUUGAUAAUUAAAUGUGCUUGGGUAAGAUAAUUGUCCUGUAGCAUGCAGCUGGUUUGAAUACUAAUAGUUAUUGUAAAAGAAAAAUUGUUAUGUAUUCAUUGAAAUGGAAAGAAAGCAAGGAAGCUGUGAAUUAAUACUGUAAACUAAUUUGUGGAAUAUGUGGCUGGAAAGGAAUCAGAAGUGUUUAACACGGUGGUGCUCGGAGGAAGGGUUAGCUUGUGCUAAGCUAAUUGUUCUUUGUGGGUAUCAUAUUUUCUUUGAUUGCUCCUAUAUUCAUCAUAUCUUGGAUCAAGCUUCUCAGAAUUUUCAACUUACUUUGGGUUUUCUCCAAUACUUUGAAAAAGCCAUUGUUUUGCAACUUCUUUUGGAUUUUCAAUUGGCUCCAUUGUCGACUUUUCUCUGGAUUAAUGUUGCUAAAAGCUCUUUAAUCAGAAUUUUGGUUGAACAAAAAUCGGAGAAUAUUUCGGAAUUCUCCUAUUUCUCACUUCAGUGGUUUUUCCGUUGGUUUUUAUCAUGGUGUAUUUUGAGUAUUCACAUCUUUUCAUUUACUUUAUGAAAAGUUCCUUUUUUGUAAAAAAAAGGAUCUUAAGAUAGGGAGUUUGAGGGACAUUCUAAGUAAGUAUUAUAAUUGGGAGCUUUUUAAAUAGCUUUGUAUGGGUUGUUGAUAACUUGUAGAAAUACAAGUUAUUUAUACUGUUUUAUUUAGAUAUUGCGGCUAAAAGAGAGAAAAGUUGCGUCGAUUGUAUGGAAAUUAGCUAAGAAAUGCAAGAAUUAUGAAUUAUCGUAAAUACACCCACUGACACUAUUGCGAUGGUAGAAAAGAAUGUUUCCAUUCUGUUUUACAGGAAAUCAAGUCACCACAUGCGUUAAUGGCUCAAGAUAAAAAGAACAACGCAUCUCCGUCGCAUUAUGCCCGUCAACCAAUAAUGAAGAGACGAUCAACGCAAUGACGGUGCAUGCGAUAAUCGAUCCAGAGCUUAACUUCCACCGCAUGCAGUAAUCAAAAACAACACUGCAUGCUGACAAAUGAUCGAAGAUGCAAAAGAGCAAUGCAAUUGCAGAGGAUUUAGACACAUGUACAGCUAACCGUUGUGCAUUUCUGAUGGGAUUGAUUGCAUAACAGAGAAAUAUUCAUUCCACCAUUUCUGGAGCUGCCUUAACAAUAAAGUGGGGUCCACACUGCAGAGAGUCAAAGGUGAGCCUAUAAAUAGCCUUGGCCAUUCCAUUGCAAAAUAUACUUGAUACAGGCAUAUUUUGAUAUUUGUAUAUUGAGAGAGAGUCUAGUCUGAAGAGCCUGAUUGGAGAAGAUUCGGGAAGAAUUAAGAGACAAGGCCGAGAAGUUAGUCUUAGGACAAACCCUUUCAAUCCCCACCGUUUAAGCUCUGUACCAAGGUCACUUCUACUGGACGUGCAAGCCUUAGAGGGAAGCUCUUCUAUCCAUUCAAUCAAUUUGCCAGCAAGCAAAUCAACCGUCCAGAUCUGUGUCAAGACGUUGACACUCUUUUGUAUUUGUUUCGAUCUCUUUAUCAUCAAUUGUAUUCACCUUCUUAGUCUAUCAUUCACACCAUGUAUCAGACGGUAAAUAUUAGUAUUGAAUGUCAUGAUCAUUUUCAUCUCCAUCUUUCUGCCUAUUUCCGUUCUUCCAUGAAUCGCUUUCUCCACGAUGUUUUCUUAAUCCCUUGGUAAUUAAUAAGAAUUAAGCAAGUAAAUUAAUCUGUGCUAAAGAAAUAAAUAUGUUUAGCUAAAGCAUGCUAGACGACAUCUUCACCUGUGAGAGCAGAAGUGAAGAUGCCAUUCCUCCUAUUGAGAGAAGGCUGGAAGAAUACGUUAACUAA